GGGGGUAGAGUUGUAACGCCCUAAUUUUUGGGAUUUUCGGGUUUCUGUGAUUUUUGGUAAAUUUUGAAAUUUUGGUGUUCUGAAUAUUGGAAUUGUGUUUAAAUGUGUUAGUGGGCCUUUAGAAGGCCCAAGCCUAAGUUAAACACGGUAAAUUAUCAAGGUUGGAUUUUAAGUGAAUAGAAGACUUGGUUAAGUGGCAAGGUGGCGCCACUAAGUUCCUAAAAAAUGUCGUCUGGGAAGGAAUUAAAGGUCCAGG
rnacentral:lncRNA from 1 species